UAGGGUGAUACCUGGGUCAGGAUCUGGUGACGCUGCAAAGGAAAGUUCAGAUAAGAGUAAACAGCCUCAGGAACACUCUGACAUUCAAGCUGAUGAUAGCCAUUUAUCUGAAACAAGAAAUGGGGAAGUGGAUCAAUCAUCAAGCAUUGGUGAACUACUCCCACACAAACCAUCUGUAACAUGUUAGUGAGCCUAUUUCACCUUCAGUACUUGACAUCCAUUUCUGUGUUCAUAUGCAGAGAGUCUGAAUAGUUAUUCUAAAACUAUUGCGAAGUUUCAGAAUAUGCAUGAUUCAAGACAGCUCAUGGCUGCUGCUAGCCUUGCCAAUAACCAGAGCAACACCAAAGUAAUGGGGGUC
rnacentral:lncRNA from 1 species